GACAAGCUUGCGUGAGGGACAGCAGUGGAGCUCUUUAUUAUACAGACUAUCAAGGCAGUAUAAAAAAAGCGGGAACGGAUUGCCCGACCCCGC
rnacentral:misc_RNA from 1 species